GGUUAAGCGACUAAGCGUACACGGUGGAUGCCAUGGCAGUCAGAGGCGAUGAAGGACGUGCUAAUCUGCGAUAAGCGUCGGUAAGGUGAUAUGAACCGUUAUAACCGGCGAUUUCCGAAUGGGGAAACCCAGUGUGAUUCGUCACACUAUCAUUAACUGAAUCCAUAGGUUAAUGAGGCGAACCGGGGGAACUGAAACAUCUAAGUACCCCGAGGAAAAGAAAUCAACCGAGAUUCCCCCAGUAGCGGCGAGCGAACGGGGAGCAGCCCAGAGCCUGAAUCAGUGUGUGUGUUAGUGGAAGCGUCUGGAAAGGCGCGCGAUACAGGGUGACAGCCCCGUACACAAAAAUGCACAU
rnacentral:rRNA from 1 species